rnacentral:misc_RNA from 1 species
GAUGAAGAACGUAGCGAAAUGCGAUAAGUAAUGCGAAUUGCAGAAUUCCAGUGAGUCAUCGAAUCUUUGAACGCACAUUGCGCCCCCUGGUAUUCCGGGGGGCAUGCCUGUCCGAGCGUCAUUGCUGCCCUCAAGCACGGCUUGUGUGUUGGGCCCCGUCCUCCGAUUCCGGGGGACGGGCCCGAAAGGCAGCGGCGGCACCGCGUCCGGUCCUCGAGCGUAUGGGGCUUUGUCACCCGCUCUGUAGGCCCGGCCGGCGCUUGCCGAUCAACCCAAAUUUUUAUCCAGGUUGACCUCGGAUCAGGUAGGGAUACCCGCUGAACUUAAGCAUAUCAAUAAGCGGAGGA